AAGUAAGAAGCAAAUUUUGCAAUCAGUUUCGACCUGAUCUUUGAUAAUAAUAAAUUAUCCUCACUUU
rnacentral:tRNA from 1 species